rnacentral:rRNA from 1 species
GGCGAACGGGUGCGUAACACGUGAGGAACUUGUCCCGGUCUCUGGGAUAACAGUUGGAAACGACUGCUAAUACCGGAUGACGUCGGAGCGUCGCAUGGCGCGCUGACGAAAGGGUUACUGGAUCGGGAGAGCCUCGCGGCCUAUCAGCUUGUUGGUGGGGUAACGGCCUACCAAGGCAUCGACGGGUAGCUGGUCUGAGAGGAUGAUCAGCCACACUGGGACUGAGACACGGCCCAGACUCCUACGGGAGGCAGCAGUGGGGAAUCUUGCGCAAUGGGCGAAAGCCUGACGCAGCAACGCCGCGUGCGGGAAGAAGGCUCUCGGGUUGUAAACCGCUUUCAGAAGGAACGAAACUGACGGUACUUUCAGAAGAAGGUGCGGCCAACUACGUGCCAGCAGCCGCGGUGACACGUAGGCACCAAGCGUUGUCCGGAUUUAUUGGGCGUAAAGAGCUCGUAGGCGGUUCAGUAAGUCAGGUGUGAAAUCUUUGGGCUUAACCCAAAGCGUGCACUUGAUACUGCUGUGACUUGAGUUCGGUAGGGGAGUGGGGAAUUCCUAGUGUAGCGGUGAAAUGCGCAGAUAUUAGGAGGAACACCGGUGGCGAAGGCGCCACUCUGGGCCGAAACUGACGCUGAGGAGCGAAAGCGUGGGUAGCAAACANG